CUAAUUCCAGCCUUCGAGAUGGUCAUGAGGGCCAAGGAGAAUGUCUACCACCUGGACUGCUUCGCAUGCAGCUCUGCAAUCAGAGGUUUUGUGUGGGAGACAAGUUUUUCCUGAAGAACAACAUGAUCCUGUGCCAGACAGACUACGAAGAGGGCCUGAUAAAGGAAGGCUACGCUCCCCAGGUCCGCUGACCCACGUAGGUCAACGAGGAGGAGGAGAAGGAGGAGGAAGAGGAGGAGGAGGAGAGACAGAAAGACCGAAGGAGAGCUUGUAAUCACACAACAAAAAGCACUAUUGCCUCCUGUCCAGCUCCUGUCCCCCAUAUGUACAUAACGAAGCAAGCCUCCCUGGGAGGGGACACACUGCUGUACAGAAUAGCCAUAGAGACGCCAGUGUGGCAGGGGAAAGGCCCCGGAAACCUCCAACAAACUACAAGUAUGAAAAAAAUAGUUUGUCCAUUUCUUUGUUUGUGACUUGCGGACGCUGCCUCUUUCCUGCUGGCCAACAGAACGCCUGCCUCAGAGCAAUUUCCAACCAACAGCUUAUCCCAGUUUUUGGAAGAAAAAAUUUUUACCCACCCAAAAGAAAUCUUGCCUCAUCUUAACGGACAGUGUGCCCACCUGACUGCACAGUCCAACAACUUCUGCUUGAAUCUAAAAUACACUGAAGUGUUGUCAAUCAACGUAAUUUUGAGAUAAAGACCUUUUUACUGUAUGAUAUCAGGUGAGAAACACGGUGAAUGUAAACUGAAGAGCAGCAAAAUUAAUGCUGAUGAUGUGUGUGUGUGUGUGUGUGUGUGUGUGUGUGUGUGGUUCCCUCUUUAGGUUGUGGAUCUCAGUCUCACAAUGGUCUUGGUGCAUAGUCUUUUCAUAAUCAGAAGAUUCCAAAAUGGUCAAUAUGUAACAACAUGCUUCCAAUACUGCUUUCUCUAACAUGUACUAAAAUCAUAGUUUCAGAGUGAAAUAAAGUGUGACUGGCUGCUCAGAAUAUCAGUGAAUACCAUGUCUGGUCAAAGUAAGCUUUCAAGUACAUUAAAGCUGCAGUUGAUGUCAUAAUAUUAACAAUAGAUAAAAUGACUAGUAUCAUGUGAAAGAUGUCUCUGGUAGUAAUGAAGCCACAGACACUUCACCACCAACUAGAAGUCAAAGUUAGCUGAAGACCAUCUAUCUCUGUUUUACAGAAGUUGGUGGAUACCAAACAAGAACUAAAAAGAGUUUGAAUAUAUAUACUUCCGUUCAUUAAGUGGACACAGCACAACUCCAACAAGAUGCUAAUGUUGCUCUGUGUCUGCACAACAGCAAUGGUUAGAAUGAUAGUACAGUGUGUCAGAAAAAUGGAUUAAAGCAGCUCUAUAUCUUAUGGACUAUACUUUAUGCCUGAAGAAAAACUCUUGGGUGUGAGAGUCUUUCAUGAGGUGAAAAGAGUCAGUACCAUUCCUGAAAUGCACCCCAUCAGUGCUCCUUUGAACAGUGUUUGGGCCCAGGUUUGGACUGACUCCAGACUUGUUCUUUUUUUUUUUGCUGGAGAUAGUCUAUUUAUUCAAACCUUGCUUUCACACUGGUCAAACUAAAAUGUGGGGAAAUGCUCAUGAAGGCAGGUUGUUGUAGCGGUGUAGGGGUUGGUCGGGAUGUUGGGGGUUGGUUACUUUUUGUACACUAUUUAUUUGAUAAGCAUUCAGUGCAUCACUUGUUGUCCGAAAUUUGGCAUAAUUUGACAUGCUGAUACUUGAAUCCAAUCGAUGAUUUCUCAAUCACAGUUUGACUUACGUUGACCAUGGCUGCGUAAUUUUCAGCACAGCUUCAGGUUCACUUAACUGCACUCUGCAGCACAUCAGUCACCUAAAGGCCCGGUCAUCUUGGUCACAAAGGCUCUGUGCUGCAGAGGAGUUCAGUCAAACAAAUCUUUGAUCGUUCAGUAAUAAAUAUCAGCAUCUGAGCGUGUGCAACAACACUCAGCAUCAUUUCUUAGCUGAAAAGAACAACUUUAAUUUGUAAAUUGUGGGUGUACAUAAAAGAAAUAUUCAUUUUUGCUUGCUAUUGUACAAUUAUUUCUUUUUAUGUGCCAUUCAGCAUGAGAUGUUUAUUUUUAGGACAACGCUUGUAAAUACUGUAAUUGUAAUAAUUUUAAGCACAAAUGUAAUACAGUUUUAUUGUGUUACCA